rnacentral:rRNA from 1 species
AGAGUUUGAUCCUGGCUCAGGAUGAACGCUAGCUACAGGCUUAACACAUGCAAGUCGAGGGGCAGCAUGAUCUUAGCUUGCUAAGAUUGACGGCGACCGGCGCACGGGUGAGUAACGCGUAUCCAACCUUCCCCUUAGUAGGGCAUAGCCCGGCGAAAGUCGGAUUAAUACCCUAUGUUUUCCGAUGAGGACAUCUGAGCUGGAAUAAAGAUUUAUCGCUAAGGGAUGGGGAUGCGUCUGAUUAGGUUGUUGGCGGGGUAACGGCCCACCAAGCCUUCGAUCAGUAGGGGUUCUGAGAGGAAGGUCCCCCACACUGGUACUGAGACACGGACCAGACUCCUACGGGAGGCAGCAGUGAGGAAUAUUGGUCAAUGGGCGCGAGCCUGAACCAGCCAAGUAGCGUGCAGGACGACUGCCCUAUGGGUUGUAAACUGCUUUUAUGCGGGGAUAAAGUGGCGUACGUGUACGUUUUUGCAGGUACCGCAUGAAUAAGGACCGGCUAAUUCCGUGCCAGCAGCCGCGGU